UACGAAGGUCCCAAGCGUUAUCCGGAUUUAUUGGGUUUAAAGGGUGCGUAGGCGGGCUAUUAAGUCAGUGGUGAAAGCCCCAAGCUUAACUUGGGAACUGCCAUUGAUACUGAUGGUCUUGAGUACAUUUGAGGUGGGCGGAAUGUGUCAUGUAGCGGUGAAAUGCUUAGAUAUGACACAGAACACCGAUUGCGAAGGCAGCUCACUAAACUGUAACUGAC
rnacentral:rRNA from 1 species